CAACAGCAGCUGUGACUAUCUCCUCUAGCCCUCUAUUAUCCUCUAUCACCAGCUCACUGAGGUUGUAAAGAACCUUUGCCACAGAGGGAGGGAAGAGAUACUUGAGACUCUCGCAUUUCUCAACUUCAACCGAGUCCAGCUGGGUCCCAACAACAACGUGAUCAGAAUAUUCCAUGCUGCCCUCCGUGAGCCCUUGCAUAUCGUAGAUGACUUCCAAUGAAGAACAAGAUUCUACCAUCAGCUUCUCGAGUUUCCAUAAUGCACGCACCAUGCAGGGUGGGAAUAUGGUAACCAGUGCAUCACAACUUUCUACUGUGAUUUCCGGGAAUUCACUGGAAUGGGGCUAAGGGUGAUCCGAGUUCUAGAGGACUGGGCCAUAUUUUUAUGAUAUAUACUUUAGGUUAGGGUUAUUCAGUGGACUUCAAGCCGAGCCUAAAAAUAUAUCCUCUUAGUUGUUUUUAUAUGUCAGAGUGGCCAGUGUGAGAGUUUAUCGAGAUCUCUGCGUAUUCAAUGGAAUUUGUACUUACCAAAUUUUCAGAAUUUGUACAGAAAAUUAAUCUAUUAUUGAUGUAUAUAUGGAUUAUAUCGGGAAAAAUGCAGGAUCAUAUAGCUAGUAAAAUUAAUAUUUUGAAUCUUAGUUUAUUAUGUAGUAGUAUAAUAAUUGUAGUAAAUAUGAUUAUAAUAUUAUUAUUAUUAAUAUGAGGGCAAUAAUUUAUGGGCCUACGGAAAAGGCCUUAGUUACCUUGCCCUUGGGUCGGCAUUGAAUUGAUUACAUAUGUGUUAUAGCUAAUAACUGCUUUGAGAUGUGUUACCUCACAUAAUAUUUUCUCUUGAUAUUUGUGCUAGCUCGCUGAUCACCAAUUAAAAAGGAAAAGAAAUAAUAAAUGUUCAUACCUUAUCUAACAAGAAGAGGCCGGUUUGUUGAGAAUUAGGAGAACCCACACCAUUACCAGGUGCAUCUUGGAACAAGUCGAUUCCACAGAACAAGUUCUGGAUGCUGUCGCAGCGAUUGAUCUGCAAUGUUUUCAACGAGGGCCAUUUGGAGA